rnacentral:rRNA from 1 species
CGGCGGACGGGUGAGUAAUGCUUAGGAAUCUGCCUAUUAGUGGGGGACAACAUCUCGAAAGGGAUGCUAAUACCGCAUACGUCCUACGGGAGAAAGCAGGGGACCUUCGGGCCUUGCGCUAAUAGAUGAGCCUAAGUCGGAUUAGCUAGUUGGUGGGGUAAAGGCCUACCAAGGCGACGAUCUGUAGCGGGUCUGAGAGGAUGAUCCGCCACACUGGGACUGAGACACGGCCCAGACUCCUACGGGAGGCAGCAGUGGGGAAUAUUGGACAAUGGGGGGAACCCUGAUCCAGCCAUGCCGCGUGUGUGAAGAAGGCCUUUUGGUUGUAAAGCACUUUAAGCGAGGAGGAGGCUACCGAGAUUAAUACUCUAGGAUAGUGGACGUUACUCGCAGAAUAAGCACCGGCUAACUCUGUGCCAGCAGCCGCGGUAAUACAGAGGGUGCAAGCGUUAAUCGGAUUUACUGGGCGUAAAGCGCGCGUAGGUGGCCAAUUAAGUCAAAUGUGAAAUCCCCGAGCUUAACUUGGGAAUUGCAUUCGAUACUGGUUGGCUAGAGUAUGGGAGAGGAUGGUAGAAUUCCAGGUGUAGCGGUGAAAUGCGUAGAGAUCUGGAGGAAUACCGAUGGCGAAGGCAGCCAUCUGGCCUAAUACU